CACGUAGGGCGCAAGCGUUGUCCGGAAUUAUUGGGCGUAAAGAGCUCGUAGGCGGUCUGUUGCGUCCGCUGUGAAAACUCGGGGCUUAACCCCGAGCCUGCAGUGGAUACGGGCAGACUAGAGGUAGGUAGGGGAGAAUGGAAUUCCCGGUGUAGCGGUGAAAUGCGCAGAUAUCGGGAGGAACACCGGGUGGCGAAGGCGGUUCUCUUGGGCCUUACCUGACGCUGAGGAGCGAAAGCGUGGGGGAGCGAACAGG
rnacentral:rRNA from 1 species